GUUGCCUCCUGUUCACGUUAGCACACCCAGGAUAUUUCGUCACUGUUCUUCCCACCUGGCCCCUCGAGCUCCUCUGUGGUGCAGUGGUUAGUGUGCCUACUUACCAAUCUGUGGGCCUGGGCAGUCAGGAUGCAGCUCACCCAACUGCUCAUCCUCCCUUUAGGGAAGGUGAACUUUAGCAAUCCUGGACUUCACACUGCCUUGUGUCCUAGGGUAGUGGGUUCUCACCACUGGCUCAAAGAGCCAAUGCAACAGGGAUGAGCACUACAGCUUCUCGCAGCUAUAAGGUAUGCACCCAAAGUCACCUUUAUCGACCUAUUACCAUGUUUUGAUUUAAUGCCAUUUAGUCACUGUUUCCAGGAUGAUGGAUGUUAUCAAUACAUUACAAAACUACUCUUCAUAUACAAAUUUUUGGUUGUAAGAAGCACACAUGGAUUUUAAAUGACACCAUUUUCAUCAACAGAAUAUAUAUAUAUGUAUAUUUAGUGGACAUGACUACCCCUUAAAGUCUACUGUACAUCGUUUAAUAGGAAUUCACCAUAAGACUGACAGGGCGCAGGACCCCACCAUCACCACAAGCACAUCACAAUCACAGCUUCAAGCAAUUCCCACCCUCCCUUCCGAGGCACAAGGAAAUCCACUGUUACCUUUUGCUUGUCUCACUCCUCUAUGAACUGCUAGUGGAAACUGUGCUUGGUUACAUUUUAUUGUGCAAGAAGAAACAAGAGGUCACUAUACACAUCCAGUACAGGAGUAACACCCCUCACGGUAUUCACAAGACAUUGAACAGUGGGCCAAGACGAGGCUCCCUCUGCUGGUACAGAUAAACACUCGAGGGUAGCUACGUUUUGUUAUUCAGAGAAACUCCUUGUCACCACCGCUAUCUCCCUGUAUCAUAUAUGUACAUUGCGUGAGAAAAUAAACUUCUUGAGAACUUUUUACAAAAAGUUGGCAAAAAUAAAAUUAUGGAUUUAACAAAUUUAGUCGGUGAUGCCUCACAGAGCUUUUGAUUAUUCUGAAUACUUUCAACGUGCCAUAGUGAAUUUCUUACCAUCUGAGCUUAUAUAAGGUUAAUCUAUAGUGCUGACAAGUCAUAGCAAGUUGAGGCAUCAAAUGAAGUAAGAUGAAGGCAAAUAUUAAACAAUGGACACUCAAUCUCAUACAAUAUUUUCUUAGUAAACCACAUACCAAACACUUGUUUGUACAGAAUGCCAAGUAAGCCUGUAAUUUGCAUAAUGUCAACUAUGUCUUUCCUUGCAUGGCACUCAUAAAAGGUAAUCAAGAAUAUAACAAUGGUAGGUCCUGGUCUUGUCUCUUUGCCCUGAAAGAAAUGGCUCGACUCAUGAGGGUUUAUCACAGAAAGUAUAAGGAAUGUAUCAAUCAGGAGGUGGUGGUGAAAACACGACCUUUUACAAUGACUGACCUCGGUGCAAAAGGAUAUGGCAAGUCAGCUAGGAUGAUGGUGUAUGCACAAAAUCAUAAAAUAUCUACAUCCAAACUAACAAAGGAUGCAGGAAGAAACAUAACCAAGAGUGUGCACUGAAGCAGUACCACCUCACGACAGGGACUUGCUUCCUCCUCUCCUGGGUACUGACAACGAAGGAGCCUAACAACACAUCUGUACUUGCUACACCUUUGAGCAUUGUGCAUGACAUAGGACGCCUGUCAAAGAAGGACGAGUGCAGAAGCAGCAGUGCUACGACUACACUGAUCAGUGCUACAAAAAACUGGGGGGCUAGGUAGCAGAUCCUAAGUCACCUGCAUAAGCAAUUGUGCAAUGGUACAAGAGUGCAGGAGGAUAACAGUGACAGGGACACAGAGAGAUGAGAUACAGUAAAAACAACAUGAAUGUGGUGAUGCUAGAAAUAAUGUACAGAAAUAGAGGAAGAAACAGUGGCAAUAUUCAUCCACCGUUGUCUGAGACAACACCCAUGAGGUCCACACACAGUA